rnacentral:rRNA from 1 species
UACAGAGGUGGCAAGCGUUGUUCGGAAUUACUGGGCGUAAAGGGCGCGUAGGCGGCCCUCUCAGUCAGACGUGAAAUCCCCAGGCUUAACUUGGGAACUACGUCUGAUACUGGAGGGCUUGAGUGCGGGAGAGGGAUGUGGAAUUCCAGGUGUAGCGGUGAAAUGCGUAGAUAUCUGGAGGAACACCGGUGGCGAAGGCGGCAUCCUGGACCGACACUGACGCUGAGGCGCGAAAGCUAGGGGAGCAAACGGG